GACGAACGCUGGCGGCGUGCUUAACACAUGCAAGUCGAACGAAGAGCGAUGGAAUCUUGCUUCUAUCAAUCUUAGUGGCGAACGGGUGAGUAACGCGUAAUCAACCUGCCCUUCAGAGGGGGACAACAGUUGGAAACGACAGCUAAUACCGCAUACGAUCUAAUCUCGGCAUCGAGGAUAGAUGAAAGGUGGCCUCUACAUGUAAGCUAUCAUUGCAGGAGGUGAGCGGGUCGGUUUAGCAAUUGGGCGGGGAAACGGCGACCAAAGGCGUGGAUAGGAAGCGGGCUGGGGAGGUGGACGGCCACAAUGGGACUGGGACAAGGCCCAGACUUCUACGGGGGGCAGCAGGGGGGGAACUUCCGCAAUGGACGGAAGUCUGACGGAGCAACGCCGCGGGAGUGAUGAAGGCCUUCGGGUUGUAAAGCUCUGUUAAUCGGGACGAAAGGCCUUCUUGCGAAUAGUGAGAAGGAUUGACGGUAACGGAAGAGAAAGCCACGGCUAACUACGUG
rnacentral:rRNA from 1 species